AUAGGUCAUAAUAUCUGGAAUGAUUUAUGGCUAAAAUCUACAUGGCCCCUGGAUUGGACUGCGGCCGAUCAGGCUGUUGGUGAGGUAAUGGCCCACCAAACCUAAAACCGGUACGGGCUCUGAGAGGAGAAGCCCGGAGAUGGGCACUGAGACAAGGGCCCAGGCCCUAUGGGGCGCAGCAGGCGCGAAAACUCUGCAAUAAGCGAAAGCUUGACAGGGUUAUUCUGAGUGAUUUCCGCUAAGGAAAUCUUUUGGCACCUCUAAAAAUGGUGCAGAAUAAGGGGUGGGCAAGCCUGGUGUCAGCCGCCGCGGUAAUACCAGCACCCCGAGUGGUCGGGACGAUUAUUGGGCCUAAAGCAUCCGUAGCCGGUUCUACAAGUCUUCCGUUAAAUCCAUCUGCUUAACAGAUGGGCUGCGGAGGAUACUAUGGAGCUAGGAGGCGGGAGAGGCAAGCGGUACUUAGUGGGUAGGGGUAAAAUCCGUUGAUCCACUGAAGACCACCAGUGGCGAAGGCGGCUUGCCAGAACGCGCUCGACGGUGAGGGAUGAAAGCUGGGGGAGCAAACCGGAUUAGAUACCCGGGUAGUCCCAGCUGUAAACGAUGCAGACACGGUGAUGAAUAGGCUUCGUGCCUUUUCAGUGCCGCAGGGAAGCCGUUAAGUCUGCCGCCUGGGGAGUACGGUCGCAAGACUGAAACUUAA
rnacentral:rRNA from 1 species